AUAAAAACAACUGUCCAUAGGAUACUUCUCAAUAUCUGAGUGAUUCAUUCUUAAGUAACACCAACAUGGGACACUGAUAACUUGGUUCUGGCUGCACUGUACUUUUCCAGUCCUUUCUCCAAAGUGCCUUGAAGAAAUUAAAGCAGCAUAUUUUUCCAGCCAUGAUCUAGCUGCAGAUCUUACUUCCCUUACACAAAUGUUUAGAAAAAUAAUUCACCAGAUAGCCAGACUGGUGGGUAGGAAGAAUGUCUUGAACUCUACAGGAGCCUAGCCCUGCUAAUGUAAUGGAAGCUACAGAGCAUAGUGCUUUAGAUGUGGGCCUUGGAAUUAGACAAGUUGGAUUGAAAUCUUAAUUUUACCAGUUACUUAUCUAUGUGUCCUUGGGCAUGUUAUUAAACCUUUCUGUGUCUCUGUUUUGUUAAUAGUAAUGGAUUGUAAAAGAGUUAUUAUGAGUGUUAAAUCAAUUAAUACACAGAAAAAGCAUAGACAAGUAUCUGGCACAUAGGAUCUGGCUCAAUAAACUUUCACUAUAUUAUUACAUAGGGUAUACAAUAUCUCAUUCUGCAACACUUUCACUUGGAAUAUCUCAUCAAUUUAAGCCAUUCAGAAGAAUAAUAUUUAAGUCCUUAUUACUUCUAUUAUUCUGCAUAACUAAAAGUGACUAUUGGAAUGGUCUCUCUGAACAAAGGGGAUCUCCCAAAGACAAAUUCCAAUCUCUAUCCCCAGAAGGCAAACACACACACACACACACACACACACACACACACACACACACACACGCUCAAACUGCUGGUAAGCCUCCCAAUAACAUUUUCCUAAUUCAAAUAGACACACAGUGGUUAAAUAAAUAAACCAGGUCUUCACAACCACAAUUUCAAAUAUCAUCUGUCUCUCUAGUACUGAUAAAGUUCUAUUGUUAGAUUUCUUUUUUUAUAUACUUCCCAACUGUCACCAUCCUUCAACACAACCAAGAAUCAAAUAAAACAAAUAAAUACAUGUUCCA
rnacentral:lncRNA from 1 species